rnacentral:lncRNA from 1 species
CCUUCUCCUCAGCUCCUCUCCUCAGUCCUUCUCCUCAGCCCCUCUCCUCAGCCCCCUCAGCACCUCUCCUCAGCCCCCCCAGCACCUCUCCUCAGCCUCUCUCCUCAGCACUCUCCUCAGCCCUCCUCAGCCUCUCUCCUCAGCCCUUCUCCUCAGCCCUUCUCCUCAGCUCCUCUCCUCAGCCCUUCUCCUCAGCCCUUCCCCUCAGCCCCUCUCCUCAGGCCUCUCCUCAGCCCCCUCAGCACCUCUCCUCAGCCCCCCCAGCACCUCUUCUCAACCCUCCUCAGCCUCUCUCCUCAGCACUCUCCUCAACCCUUCUCCUCAGCCCUUCUCCUCAGCCCCUCUCCUCAGCCCUUCUCCUCAGCCCUUCUCCUCAGCCCCUCUCCUCAGCCCCCUCAGCACCUCUCCUCAACCCUUCCCCUCAUCAGCCCCUCUCCUCAACCCUUCUCCUCAGCCCUUCUCCUCAGCCCCUCUCCUCAGCCCUUCUCCUCAGCCCCCUCAGCACCUCUCCUCAGCCCCCCCAGCACCUCUUCUCAGCCCUCCUCAGCCUCUCUCCUCAGCCUCUCUCCUCAGCCCUUCUCCUCAGCCCUUCUCCUCAGCUCCUCUCCUCAGUCCUUCUCCUCAGCCCUUCUCCUCAGCACCUCUCCUCAGCCCCCCCAGCACCUCUUCUCAGCCCUCCUCAGCCUCUCUCCUCAGCACUCUCCUCAACCCUUCUCCUCAGCCCUUCUCCUCAGCCCUUCUCCUCAGCCCCUCUCCUCAGCCCUUCCCCUCAACCCUUCUCCUAAGCCCUCUCCUCAAUCUCUCUCCUCAUCCUCUCUCCUCAAUCUCUCUCCUCAAUCUCUCUCCUCGUCCUCUCUCCUUAGCCCUCUCCUCUGCCUUCUCCCCUGCCCGCUCCUCAGCCCAAGAGGUGUCACUACAGUCUGUAUCACAUCCGGCUGUGAUUGGGAGCCCCAUAGGGUGGCACACAAUUGGCCCAGCAUCGUCCGGGUUUGGCCAGGGUAGUCCAUCAUUGGAAACAGGAAUUUGUUCUUAACUGACUUGCCUAGUUAAAAUAAAAGUGAAAUAAAUAAAUACAUUUUUAAAUUAAGCUGGUUGAGAGAAUUCUAAGAUUGUUGCAAAGCUGUUAAGGCAAAGGGUGGCUACUU